rnacentral:rRNA from 1 species
GAUGAACGCUGGCGGCGUGCCUAAUACAUGCAAGUCGAGCGAACAGACGAGGAGCUUGCUCCUCUGACGUUAGCGGCGGACGGGUGAGUAACACGUGGAUAACCUACCUAUAAGACUGGGAUAACUUCGGGAAACCGGAGCUAAUACCGGAUAAUAUAUUGAACCGCAUGGUUCAAUAGUGAAAGACGGUUUUGCUGUCACUUAUAGAUGGAUCCGCGCCGCAUUAGCUAGUUGGUAAGGUAACGGCUUACCAAGGCAACGAUGCGUAGCCGACCUGAGAGGGUGAUCGGCCACACUGGAACUGAGACACGGUCCAGACUCCUACGGGAGGCAGCAGUAGGGAAUCUUCCGCAAUGGGCGAAAGCCUGACGGAGCAACGCCGCGUGAGUGAUGAAGGUCUUCGGAUCGUAAAACUCUGUUAUUAGGGAAGAACGAAUGUGUAAGUAACUAUGCACGUCUUGACGGUACCUAAACAGAAAGCCACGGCUAACUACGUG